rnacentral:rRNA from 1 species
UACGUAGGGUGCGAGCGUUGUCCGGAUUUAUUGGGCGUAAAGAGCUCGUAGGCGGUUUGUCGCGUCGGCCGUGAAAUCUCCACGCUUAACGUGGAGCGUGCGGUCGAUACGGGCAGACUUGAGUUCGGUAGGGGAGACUGGAAUUCCGUGGUGUAGCGGUGAAAUGCGCAGAUAUCAGGAGGAACACCGGUGGCGAAGGCGGGUCUCUGGGCCGAUACUGACGCUGGAGGAGCGAAAGCCGUGGGGAGCGAACAGG